UACGUAGGAGGCGAGCGUUGUCCGGAGUACUGGGCGUAAAGCGCACGCAGGCGUCAGAUCAGUCUGGAGUGACAGUCUCGGCUUAACCGACGAAGUGUUCUGGAAACUGUCUGACUUGAGGGCUUCAGAGGGACACGGAAUUCCGGGUGGAGUGGUGAAAUGCGUAGAUAUCCGGAGGAACACCAAUGGCGAAGGCAGUGUCCUGGGAAGUACCUGACGCUCAGGUGCGAAAGCUAGGGGAGCGA
rnacentral:rRNA from 1 species